rnacentral:lncRNA from 10 species
AGGUUAACAUCUAGACAUAGUUAACUGAGCAUACAUAGCUUUCCACUCGUUUUUGCUUUAAAAUACACUCAAAAAGCAGAAAGCCUGCAGGAUGCUUCUUGGGCUCUUGUUGCGGACGAAUAGGCUCGGCUAUUCUUGUUGCUGAAGAAUAGCCUCUGCUGGUGUGGAGGAGGGAAGCUGCCCCCGGAUUAGACAGCAGGAUGACAAGUAACAGGUGACUUGAAUUUCAAGUGAUUAUCAUAUAAAUGGAGGAUUAGAAAAGAGACACCAACUCUGGAACCAGUUCAAUGGAAUUCUUCAAGAGACUGUAACUUAGUGCUUACAAAGACUUGGAAUGAUCUACACUGCAUGGUGUACCUGUUAGAGGAGGUGACAUCAAAGCUUUAGGUACUGAGAGAGGAUACUUCCUACUGUGGAAGGGAAGAAAAGAAAAAAGCAAAGCUCAGUGUCCUAUGUCACCUGUCCUGAGACAUUCCAAGAAGGAAGACCAAAAGACAGCAUUCUUGAGCUAUUCCAAAGAGAUCACAGAGGCCACCACCAAAGAGAAGACUAAGAAUCUACCAUAGUUUGCCCCGCUACUUCUUGGAAGAGCAGUGGAGAGAAAAAUAUUGUUUCUUUUUCUUGGGAAAUUGGCAGAGGCAUGCUGAAGAAAUCAGCUACAGCUGUUCUCCACACCUGGAUAAAUUUUUAAUAAGAACUUAACACACCCGCCCUCCAGAAAGGGUGGUCUGAGGUGUCGAUGGUGUUGUCUCUCCCAGGGCUCUUCUGGGCAGCCUUCUCUGUGACCUGGAGAGCGAAGAGUCUAUUUCCAUCACAUUUCAGCUGCCAAACUCCCCUUUAAACAAAAGUUAUGACUCUAGUACAGGAUGAUGCCAUCGAAAAGGGGUCAAACGGCAGCACUUAACUGCCAAAGGGAAGAGAUGUUGAUUGUCUUGACGUUCCACAAAACAUCACAUUGGAUUACCUCAU